rnacentral:lncRNA from 12 species
GAACACUCUUCAGAAGCCACAAAAGCAUCCUCCCACAUUGACUGUGACUUCUGGUCCACAGCCACAUCUCAGGAGCAAUGAUACUAAGCUUUUCUGUCUCCAGUGCACACCAGCCAUGUCCUUGUGGUUAGCAGAUGCAUUGGUUUUGCAACGAAAGGCUAAACAAGCCUGAAAGGAAACCAUGAGUCUGACCUUGGAAGAUUUCAUGUUCUCAAGCUCACUGAGUCAUCAGUGAAUUUAUGAACCAGGAAUUGUACAUUUUAAAUACAGCCCUUCAGAAGCGUCCCAUGUCUCUGAGCUGGUGGACCACCCAAAUCUCUCUCUGAA